ensembl:lincRNA
CUGCGAUUUUCAGUCUUAGGAUCCAGUGGGUGGGUUGGGCAGCCGCCACGUUUAUAAGGGUAAAGCGGAAAUUCUCCCGCGUGGAACCUCAGAACCAAGCUCUGGUGAGGGAUUUCUCAGUGGCCACAGCUGGGCCAUCUUUCUCUCUGUCUCUUUCUGUUUUUUUGGUGCUGGGGAUUGAGCUGAGGACUCAUGUGUUUUGGGCAAGCACUCUGUCACUGAGCUGUAGUCUCAACCCUUGUGCCCAUUUGUCGGUCUUCUUUGUAGGCGGACAUGUGCAAACCUGCAGGAGCUAAGUGGCAAUAAGUCAGUGCAAAUGGGAGAAAGGUGUGAAAGAAAACACAAAAAUUAAAUGGAGAUCACGACCUAAAAACCCACUCAUUCUUGCUUUCCCAUCCCUACAUUUGGGAGGUCUGUGCUUCAGGUUACGUAUUAUAAGUGCAUCACUGAGUAAUUAGGUGACCUAAUGACACGUUUACGUGUGUGUCAGCGUGCUCACGUAUACACUGUAGGAAAGGCACUCGUGUGACUCAGGGAGCGACUAUGCUUUGCCACGCAGGUUGCUAUUUCACACUGACUGUAUUUAAUCAUCACAAUACCCAGAGCUGUGUUUUAUCCUCACUGCCAUAUGACUACGGUUCAGAGAAUCAAAAUGAUUUGCCCAUGACUAACAAGUGGUAGGUGAGGGUUUAAAUUGAAUUUUGCUUCCAAGGAUGGUGUUUUAUAUAAGUGUGUGUGCGUUUGUGUACCUGUGCCACACCGGUCGGAGCAUAGCCAAGUCACCUCUGAUGGCCAGGUGACGACUGACAACGAUCACCCCAUAUCCAGGACGGCCCUCCCGUGGCCCCCAGUCCCUGGCGGGGAGUGGAUUUCGGCAGCCCUAGUUUGCUUUGGCUGUCAUAGUCCAAAGUGCUGUCCAGUGGAAUUUGUUCCUCCCCUUUAGAGAGACCGGGGGAGAUGGCAGUGUUCAGUGAAACCGCUGGCGACCAGCUAAAGCUCCCCAAGAUAAAUGUGACCAAGGCCGCGGGGAGAGUUGGGAGCCAACAAACCUACCUGAGGGGAGUCACCUGCACGCAGGCUCUGAAGUUACAGGGACCCACUAACGAGUGGAGGGGACUGUGUGUGUGUGUGUGUGUGUGUGUGUGUGUGUGUGGUACGUGUCUCUUCACCGUUGCUCAUUUGCUUUGGCUUUCACGAUCUCAUAUUUUAGAAUCUCUCCACGGUGACCUCCAGGGGUCAUGGGAGCUCUCAGUGUGUCACUUCUCAGGACUGUCCAGAGCAAGGGUACUGUGUUUCCAAGCAGGACACAGCUGCCCCCACACCCACAUUCAGUACUAUUCUACCAUGGACAAUGACAAAAUCUGAGGUGACAUAAAACAGGAAAGACUUCAAUGGACGAAAGGUAGCUGAAGUUCCCGGCACGGUGGGUGUAAUCCACACAGCAACCUCAUGUCCUUGUGAACCUGUCAUGGGACCCUGGCCCAGGGGCAUUCCCAGGCUUUUUUUGUUUGUUUGUUUUGGUCAUGUUUUCUUUAUCUGAGAAAAUCCUUUGACUUCUUAAAAAAACAACUGUAUGGGACUAUAAAAUAGUGCAGCUACAUUAGAAUACAAGCAGUUUCUUGAACAGUCCACACAGAGCUUGGCAUGGAAGGAUGGAAACACAAACC